UACGUAGGGGGCAAGCGUUGUCCGGAAUCAUUGGGCGUAAAGAGCGCGUAGGCGGCCCUGUAAGUCCGCUGUGAAAGUCAAGGGCUCAACCCUUGAAUGCCGGUGGAUACUGCAGGGCUAGAGUCCGGAAGAGGCGAGUGGAAUUCCUGGUGUAGCGGUGAAAUGCGCAGAUAUCAGGAGGAACACCGAUGGCGAAGGCAGCCCCCUGGGAUGAUACUGACGCUCAUACACGAAAGCGUGGGGAGCAAACAGG
rnacentral:rRNA from 1 species